rfam:Geomyces destructans 20631-21 unplaced genomic scaffold supercont1.56, whole genome shotgun sequence.
UUCUUUCUUUCCACCACAUACUCGUGAACGGCUUGACACCAGCAUUCGUCUUCGGACGCAUAAUGGAGUUGCCGUUCAGUUUGACUUCGAGGAGCCAUCAAAUCCCCAUGAUGUCAAUUAUCUAGUCAACGGGUCUGAGAUCGAUUAAGCACCUGCAACCUCGAUGUUUUUGAGCCCUUCACGGGAGCUCGACGGAGAGACGGGUGUCUUAAGUCACUAUAUUCCAAAUCUUUUCGCAGAUGCCGUCGGCUUAUGAUGCUAAAGACUCACCAUGGUGAAUACAGUU